rnacentral:lncRNA from 1 species
GAGAGGAGAGAGGGGAAGAUGGGAGAGGAGAGGGGGAGGGGAGAGUGCGGGAGAGAGAGACAGAGUUGGGAGGGAGAGAGGAGGGGGGGAGAGAGGAGAGAGGGGGAGAUGGGAGAGGAGAGGGCGAGAGGGGGGAGGGGAGAGUGUGAGAGAGAGAGACAGAGUUGGGAGGGAGAGAGGAGGGGGAGAGAGAGGAGAGAGGGGGAGAUGGGAGAGGAGAGGGCGAGAGGGGGGAGGGGAGAGUGUGGGAGAGAGAGACAGAGUUGGGAGGGAGAGAGGAGGGGGAGAGAGGAGAGAGGGGAAAUGAACCUUUAUUUAACUAGGCAAGUCAGUUAAGAACAAAUUCUUUGGUGAUGUGGACACCAAGGAACAUGAAACUCUCGACCCGCUCCACUACAUCCCCGUCGAUGUUCAUGGGGGCCUGUUCGGUCCUCCUUUAAGUCCUGUAGUCCACGAUCAUCUCCUUUGUCUCGCUCACGUUGAGGGAGAGGACAGGCCAGGUCUCUGACCUCCUCCCUAUAGGGCCCGUCUCGUCGUUGUCGGUGAUCGGGCCUACUACUACCACUGUUGUGCCGUCAGCAAACUUAAUGAUGGCCGUUGCAGUUGUGAGUGAACUGGAAGUACAGGAAAGGGUCUGAGCACGUACCCCUUGAUAACUGACUGUAGACUACUCAUUCUCCUUUAUGAUGGCCGUUGGAGCAGUAUAUUACAGGUAGAUUGCUGGGUUAAUUCCUGUUUAUUGCUGGGUUUGUCGACAAGGCAGAUUCCUUUAGGUUUUACAAUGGGCUUAGGUGGGCCUUUGGAGAGCGUGCGUGUGUGUGUGUGUGUGUGUGUGUGUAAUGAUUGAAGGAGGGAUGUUUUUCUGUCCUCCGUCAUUCGAGUCACUCAUUCCCUCGUUCGUGCCAUCCUGUGGUUUAACGGUUUGAUCUGAUGGCCUGGUGACCUGGGCGUCCGGUCACACGAACACAAUAACCUUCUGAUGGGGAUUGACUGGCAGUUCAUCUUUCAUCUGGUUUCACAUCAACAGGGUUAGAGAAGGGGGAAAGGCUCUCUCUCUCUCUCUCUCUCUCUCUCUCUCUCUCUCUCUCUCUCUCUCUCUCUCUCUCUCUCUCUCUCUCUUUGUCUUUCUCUCUCUCUCUCUCUCCCUUUCUCUCUCUCUCUCUCUCUCUCUCUCUCUCUCUCUCUCUCUCUCCGCUCUCUCUCUCUCUCUCUCUCACCAUCUCUCUCUCUGUCUGUCUCUCUCUCUCUCUGUCUCUCUCUCUCUCUCUCUCUCUCUCUCUCUCUCUCUCUCUCUCUCUCUCUCUCUCUCUGUCUCUCUCUCUCUGUCUCUGUUUCUCUCUCUCUCUCCCUCUCUUUCUCUCUCUCUCUCUGUCUUUCUCUCUCUCUCUCUCUCUCUCUCUCUCUCUCUCUCUCUCUCAAAUUCAGAUUGCUUUAUUGGCAUGAAAUACAAGUGGUAGAUAGCCAAACCAGUACAGUGGUACAUUAUUACAGUAAGCACAGUACAGCGGUACAUUAUUACAGUAAGGACAGUACAGUGGUACAUUAUUACAGUAAGGACAGUACAGUGGUACAUUAUUACAGUAAGGACAGUACGGUGGUACAUCAUUACAGUAAGGACAGUACAGAGGUACAUUAUUACAGUAAGGACAGUAUAGCGGUACAUUAUUACAGUAAGGACAGUACAGUGGUACAUCAUUACAGUAAGGACAGUACAGAGGUACAUUAUUACAGUAAGGACAGUAUAGCGGUACAUUAUUACAGUAAGGACAGUACAGAGCAGUGAGGGAACAUGGAUGAUGGGUCCAUUAUGUACUUGUCAGUUAUAUACAAUGUAAACACUACAAGGAAUGAAUGGUCAUGGGAUGUGCCUCAGGCUGUGACAAUCAUAUAUCUGGCUGUUAUAUUAACAUGUCUGUCAUUAUGAAUAGAUACAUACAUAUAUAUACAUAUAUAUAUAUAUAUAUAUAUACAUACAGUGUUUUAACGACGGGGCAAUAGUUAAAGUACAUGGUAGAAAAAUGAACAUUAAAUUAUCCAUUGCACCUGUACAUAGCCCAUCUGUAUAAUAGCCCAUCUACCUACCUCAUCCCCAUAUUGUUUUUUAUUUUAUUUAUUUUGCUCCUUUUGCAGCCCAGUACAUCUACUUGCACAUUCAUCUUCUGCACGUCUAUCACUCCAGUGUUUAAUUGCUAUAUUGUAAUUAUUUCGCACCACUACGGCCUAUUUAUUGCCUUACCUCCUUUAUCCUACCUCAUUUGCAUACACUGUAUAUAGACUUUCUCUAUUGUGUUAUUGGCUGUAUGUUUUGUUUAUUAUACUCCAUGUGUAACUCUGUGUUGUUGUUUGUGCCGCACUGCUUUGCUUUUAUCUUGGCCGGGUCGCAGUUGUAAAAUGAGAACUUGUUCUCAACUAGCCUACCUGGUUAAAUAAAGGUGAAAUAAAAAAAUUUAAAAUUCUGGCAACAGCACUGUUGGAUAUUCCUGUAGUCAGCAUGCCAAUUGCACCCUCCUCCCUCAAAACUUGAGACAUCUGUGGCGUUGUGUUGUGUGACAAAACUGCACAUUUUAGAGUGAUCUUUGUUUGUCCCCAGCACAAGGUGCACCUGUGCAAAGUUAAUUAUUUUUAAAUGGACAGUAAACAUUUACACUCACAAAAGUUCCAAAGGAAUAAAGACAUUUCAAAUAUAUUACUGUCUAUAUACAGUGUUGUAACGAUGUGUAAAAAAGUACAAAAGGUAAAAUAAAUAAACAUAAAUAUGGGUUGUAUUUACAAUGGUGUUUGUUCUUCACUGGUUGACCUUUUCUUGUGGCAACAGGUCACAAAUCCUGCUGUUGUGAUGGAACACUGUGGUAUUUCACCCAGUAGAUAUGGGAGUUUAUCAAGAUUGGGUUUGUUUUCGAAUUCUUUGUGGAUCUGUGUAAUCUGCGGGAAAUAUGUGUCUCUAAUAUGGUCAUACAUUUGGCAGGAAGUUAGGCAGUGCAGUUCAGUUUCCACCUCAUUUUGUGGGCAGUGUUGCACAUAGCCUGUCUUCUCUUGAGAGCCCAGGUCUGCCUACGGCGGCCUUUCUCAAUAGCAAGGCUAUGCUCACUGAGUCUGUACAUAGUUAAAGUUUCCUUAAGUUUGGGUCAGUCACAGUGGUCAGAUAUUCUGCUACUGUGUCCUCUCUGUUUGGGGACAAAUAACAUUCUAGUUUUCUCUGUUUUUUUGUUAAUUCUUUCCAAUGUGUCAUGUAAUUAUAUUUUAGUUUUCUCAUGAUUUGGUUGGUGUCUAAUUGUGUU